AUUGAACGCUGGCGGCAUGCCUUACACAUGCAAGUCGAACGGAAACAUGAAAGAGCUUGCUCUUUUGAUGUCGAGUGGCGAACGGGUGAGUAAUACAUCGGAACAUGUCCUUUUGUGGGGGAUAACUACUCGAAAGAGUAGCUAAUACCGCAUAAGACCUGAGGGUGAAAGCGGGGGCUCGAAAGACCUCGCGAAGAUGGAGUGGCCGAUGACUGAUUAGCUAGUUGGUGGGGUAAAGGCCUACCAAGGCGACGAUCAGUAGCUGGUCUGAGAGGACGACCAGCCACAUUGGGACUGAGACACGGCCCAAACUCCUACGGGAGGCAGCAGUGGGGAAUUUUGGACAAUGGGGGGAACCCUGAUCCAGCCAUGCCGCGUGCAGGAAGAAGGCCUUCGGGUUGUAAACUGCUUUUGUUAGGAACGAAAAGGUGGAUACUAAUAAUGUCUACUGAUGACGGUACCUAAAGAAUAAGCACCGGCUAACUACGUGCCAGCCGCCGCGGUAAAAC
rnacentral:rRNA from 1 species